CACGUAGGGGGCAAGCGUUGUCCGGAUUUAUUGGGCGUAAAGAGCUCGUAGGCGGCUAAGUAAGUCAGGUGUGAAAACUCCAGGCUCAACCUGGAGACGCCACCUGAUACUGCUUUGGCUAGAGUCCGGUAGGGGAGCAUGGAAUUCCUGGUGUAGCGGUGAAAUGCGCAGAUAUCAGGAGGAACACCAGUGGCGAAGGCGGUGCUCUGGGCCGGUACUGACGCUGAGGAGCGAAAGCGUGGGGAGCAAACAGG
rnacentral:rRNA from 1 species